CCACCUACAUCUAUUUUCUUGUUAGCGAGGAUAUCGAUCAAUUGACUGCUCAAUUAAUCAAUUCAUCUAUUGUGUGGGUUAUUCAGGUCAAUCGGCUCCUCCCCUCAGCCCACUUCCAUGGUCAAUGCAGUAAGCUCUACAUCCGGACCUGCUGCAAGGCCAGGUCAAUACACUCCAUAUUUUGCUUCAUUUGCAAAUCGGUUUUGCAGCUAACUAAUUGGAUGAGAACAGAUGUCACAUGUAUGUACUGCUCAUAUAUCUUGAUAUCAUCUCGAUCUCACAAAAUUUUGAUGGUUUGCUUCUCAAAUUGUUUUUUACUGCUCAAUGUAAUUUUUGUAUUCCGUUUUAUAGCGAUUUGUCAUAUACUUCUAAUAGAUCUCAACCUGUAUUGCUGAUGGUUGCUUCUUCCAGCUCAAUGCUUUUUCUCCCUGUAUUCCAUACUCCUGAUUUGUCAUAGGUUUGGAGAUCUCAAAUGCUUCACUAUAUGACAACAUGUACAGUUCAAGCUGAAUAGUUUACAGAGGAACAUAAUAGUAGCUGUCUAGGAUUGGAGAUAAUUUCUGAACCUCAAGACCUCAUUUUUUCUACAUAUACGGCCAUUACGAUUGUUUAGCUGUAUAUUAAUGUUUAGUUAUAUAUGAUUGUUUAACUUAAUUAUAUGCUUAUCAAAUUGCUUUGAAUUUUAUCCAAAUUCCACUUGGAACAUCAGGUCAGCAGCUGUCAACAGGUGCAACGAGGACAAAUUUGUUUGGCCAAUGUUAAAUUCACUCGACAUAUUUUCAACAGAAAUUUUAUUUGUUUAAUUCUGUUCAUCGAGCCGCGCCCCGCCGUCGGUCAUUGUCGUCGUGCACUGAUCCACUAUAGUCGCCAGCCAGACUUGUGAGCGUGACGGAGGGAGCACGCCACUCUUCAAUCUCUACCUCCAGCGGCGACCCUCACCAAUGCUGAAGUAGCUCCAGCGAAACGUAAUUUCAUAAUGCAUCGAGAAUACCUUGUGGAGUUAUUACUGGUCGCAUGGGUGAAUGAACUCAUCACAAGCAUUGGCAUCAAUCAACUUCAUGUUCCCUCUAGAACUACUAAGGAAAAAUUCAUGACAUCAAAGUUUAUACCUGACAACCACUGCUCGGUGGAUAAGGUAACUGCUACAUUGAGAGAGACUGGUCUUCAAUCAUCAAUUUUGAUUUCUUGGUAUUGAAAUACCAAAAGCAAUGAAUAGUCAGAUGAGGUUACUUCUGUAUUACGGUUAAAUGCACUGGCUGUUUCCUUUAAGCUAGGUUUCUAUCAAUUUUACUUGAGGACACGUUUUGGUUUAAGCAAGCAAAUUUUCUUGCUAAAUUUCUCUAUGCAGAUAUAUUCCUUUAGAAGGAAAAUUCUGCAACAUUGUUUGGAUGGAUAUACAUGCUCCGCCAGUUGUUCUCCCAUGAUCAGCAGUAGCUUGAUGAU